UACAGAGGUCUCAAGCGUGUUCGGAUUCGAUUGGUGCGUAAAGGGGUGCGUAGGUGGCGCCGUAAGUCAGGUGUGAAAUCUCGGGGGCUCAAACCCCCGAAACUGCACUUGAUACUGCGGUGCUCGAGUACUGGAGAGGAGAUUGGAAUUUACGGUGUAGCAGUGAAAUGCGUAGAUAUCGUAAGGAAGACCAGUGGCGAAGGCGAAUCUCUGGACAGUUACUGACACUGAGGCACGAAGGCCAGGGGAGCAAACGGG
rnacentral:rRNA from 1 species